CAAGCGUUGAUCGACAUGGUAAUGGGUCUAUAGUAUUGGAGAAAAGUUGAAAAAACUCACCCUCCGUUACAUCGUGACGUGUCAUGCCGUAACGUACAGCGCGCAUAAAGCAACUAUUUCUGUCAUUACAAUCUCUCUCCACCAGUAUACCUAGUCAUUUUUUGCAUCAUCACUGCAAGCAUCAUGACCCUCAAAGCCGCUGUUUACUUCUGAAGAUCACUUUAGCACCGCCCUAAAAACUUGAUUCAAAUUCGACACAAACCUUCAAAUAGAGCCAAGAUUACCCAGCAGCCACCACCCUCAACAAACACACACUUUUAGAUGGAGAGAGAAGAGGAUAGAAAGAGAAGGAUGAGCACAUAUAGAUGGAGAGAGAGAAGCCUCAACAGCGCCCCAUGCAGGUGCUUCACUGCAUACAUGUGUGCUACGGAGAUCGGCUUGGUGAGACAGCUGAUAGAAAUAGAGCAUUUCUAUGGCGAGAUAAGUCAGGUAGCCUUGGCCUAAGCAUGUCACCCUUUGGAAGAGGUAGUGGAUACCCCACCAUUGUCUCCAAGGAUAAAGGUCCACAUAAAUAAUUCAAUAAGAAAAUCUCUUGUUGUGUCAUCCAUUUUUAAAGACACAGUAGGCAGCCCAUUAUGCUGCUGGCAAGCAGAUGAGUACAGUAGCUGUGUCACGUGACCCAGGCCCAGGAGGUUAUUGUUAUUUUACUGUCCAUAAACAGAACAGGACAUUUCCUCCUCAGCUUAUUCAUAUGCAGUCUCCCACCUGUCAGAGCCCCAUGUCGCCUUCACAAGGUAAACCAGCUAUAACAUACCUGAUCAGUAAGCAAACACAUACAUACAGUUGAAGUGGGAAGUUUACAUGCACCUUAGCCAAAUACAUUUAAACUCAGCUUUUCACAAUUCCUGACAUUUAAUCAUAGUAAAAAUUCCCUGUCUUAGGUCAGUUAGGAUCACCACUUUAUUUUAAGAAUGUGAAAUGUCAGAA